rnacentral:lncRNA from 1 species
AGGGUAUCAUAUUUAUUCUCCAGAAACAUAAAUCAAAACACAUGUCAUGCUCAUAAUUUAGAUGUAAAAUUUCAACUUUGAUGUCUCAGCAUCAUAUGCAUAGCACAGUGGAUUUAUUUCAACUCCAGAAUUUAACAUAAUUCAAAAAUAAAUAAAGAGAAUACACGUAGUAUCUCUUAACAUCCAGGUACAAUCCUAAACGCUUCCUCGUGUUACAUAACAGAGCAUGACUCUUAUAACUAAAAUAUAAAUAAAAGACUAGCUCCUCCGACUAACCCUUGCGAGAAGCUCCACUAUUCUCGAUGCCUGAGCGAUGUCGCAUAGAACAUCAUUCCAACAUAAGGGUGAGAACUCAUAUCAUAUGGAUAAGCAUAAUAAUAAGUAAUGCAAAAGCUUAUAAAAGUUAUCCAUAAAUACCUCAUUCAUAAUUUAAGAAAAUAGAUCAUGAAAUUUAAUAUAAUUUAUUAAUUUCACAAUAUGCCAGUACUCCAUGAGUAUAGCUCAAGUAAAGCAAAUAUAAAUAUCCUCAAUUAUCACAACAACAAAUUCUCCAAAAAUAUCGCAGUUAUCAUUAUUUAACAUCAACAGCUCCCUACAGUAACAUAUAUGACUCAAGUGUGACUCCGUGCAAAUGCCUUUGGUAGCAA